UCAGUCAGUGGUUCAAGUGCUGCAGGAGCU
rnacentral:piRNA from 1 species